rnacentral:snRNA from 1 species
GUGCUUACUUAGGCAGCACAUACACUAAAAUUGGAAUGAUACAGAGAUUAGCAUGGCCCCUACACAAGAAUGAUACACAAAUUUAUGAAGCGUUCCAUAUUUUU